rnacentral:rRNA from 1 species
AUUGAACGCUGGCUGCAGGCUUAACACAUGCAAGUCGAGCGGGGUGAUGGUGCUUGCACUAUCACUUAGCGGCGGACGGGUGAGUAAUGCUUAGGAAUCUGCCUAUUAGUGGGGGACAACAUCUCGAAAGGGAUGCUAAUACCGCAUACGUCCUACGGGAGAAAGCAGGGGAUCACUUGUGACCUUGCGCUAAUAGAUGAGCCUAAGUCGGAUUAGCUAGUUGGUGGGGUAAAGGCCUACCAAGGCAGCGAUCUGUAGCGGGGCUGAGAGGAUGAUCCGCCACACUGGGACUGAGACACGGCCCAGACUCCUACGGGAGGCAGCAGUGGGGAAUAUUGGACAAUGGGGGGAACCCUGAUACAGCCAUGCCGCGUGUGUGAAGAAGGCCUUAUGGUUGUAAAGCACUUUAAGCGAGGAGGAGGCUCUUUUGGUUAAUACCCAAGAUGAGUGGACGUUACUCGCAGAAUAAGCACCGGCUAACUCUGUGCCAGCCGCCGCGGUAA